UAAGACCUUCUCCAUUAAAAACCUGCAUAUUUUUAAUAUUUUAAAAAGUCAGCAUAUCUGACAACAAUAGAUAAGAGAAAAGCAGUGCUUCUUAACCUUGAAUGUGCACACACAUUACUAGGAAGAUUGUGAAAGGCUGAUUCUGAUUCAGUGAUUCUGGGGUGGGGCCUGAGAUUCUGCAUUUCCAUCAAUGUCCAGUUGCUGCCGAUGCUACAGGUCCUAGGUCCAUGCUUUGAGUAGAAAGUCGUUGCAGGGUAGUUGUGGUUUCCAUUUCCCACCCCCAGUCCUUGCAUCCCUACCUAUUUGUUGUUGGUGUGGCUGGGUGACUGUGUUGGUGUUCGUUGGCUUUUGAGUUUGUAUUCCCUGCUUUUACGAUAUGGUCUCUUGGAUAAAAUAAGUAAAUAGAGUGGCCAUUUUUAAACCAGGAAUUGCUGUUCCAUGCACAC
rnacentral:lncRNA from 10 species